rnacentral:rRNA from 1 species
UACGUAGGGGGCAAGCGUUGUCCGGAUUUAUUGGGCGUAAAGAGCGUGUAGGCGGUUUGGUAGGUGCGUUGUGAAAACUCGAGGCUCAACCUCGAGACGCCGGCGCAAACCAUCAGACUAGAGUCCGGAAGAGGAGAGUGGAAUUCCUGGUGUAGCGGUGAAAUGCGCAGAUAUCAGGAAGAACACCCGUGGCUAAGGCGGCUCUCUAGUACGGUACUGACGCUGAGACGCGAAAGCGUGGGGAG